ACUGGAAUGAAAAAGGGCAACCAGUUGGUACUAACUCAGUGCAAUUUUCUUCUUUUGUGGGCGCUCUUGUGCGAGAGGUUGUUCCUUACACUAUUUCAGAUUGGAGGAAAGUUUCACCAAUGAUGAGAGAUGUUCUUUGGGCAUCUAUUCAGGCACAAUAUGACUUACAUGAUGAUUGGCAAAAAAAGAUGUGCUUUGAAAUGAUGGCAGAACUAUGGAGAGCUGGGAAAUCUAGACUUGUAAAGGAUAUUAUCAAUGCAAAAAAUGAGAGUGAACGACUAGCCUUAAAGCCGCAUUGCAUAAAAAGUGAUGUAGAAUGGAGAGCAUUUGUUGCCAAAAAAAAUUAGUAAAGAACAUUUGGAUAUAAGGGCCAAAUACCAAGAGAGAAGAAAGAAAGUUGUUCCACACACCUUAAGUCGAAGAGGAUAUGCUCGAACAAUUGAUGAUAUGGUAAUAAUUAAGUUUUAUACUGUUUGUAUUUUUGCUUCCAUUAUUGUAGUCUCUAUUUUAUAAUCUCUAUUGAUGUAUUGUGUAGAAGAAAGAAAAUGAGGAUGGUAAAAUAUCUAGAAUCGAUGCUUUUCGGAGAGCCCAUACCAAGAAGAAUGGUGAACCUGUAAACCCAACGAC